rnacentral:rRNA from 1 species
UACGAAGGGGGCUAGCGUUGUUCGGAAUUACUGGGCGUAAAGCGCGCGCAGGCGGGUCAUCAAGUCAGGGGUGAAAGCCCAGAGCUCACCUCUGGAACUGCCAUUGAAACUGUUUAGCUUGAGGACGAGAGAGGUGAGUGGAAUUCCCAGUGUAGAGGUGAAAUGCGUAGAUAUUGGGAAGAACACCAGUGGCGAAGGCGGCUCACUGGCUCGUUUCUGACGCUCAGGCGCGAUAGCGUGGGGAUCAAACAGG